CCUACGGGAGGCAGCAGUGAGGAAUAUUGGUCAAUGGGCGCAAGUCUGAACCAGCCAAGUCGCGUGAAGGAAGACGGCUCUAUGGGUUGUAAACUUCUUUUAUACGGGAAUAAAGUGCACUACGUGUAUUUCUCUGCAUGUACCUUACGAAUAAGGAUCGGCUAACUCCGUGCCAGCAGCCGCGGUAAUACGGAGGAUGCGAGCGUUAUCCGGAUUUAUUGGGUUUAAAGGGUGCGUAGGCGGUUUGUUAAGUUAGCGGUGAAAGUUUGCGGCUCAACCGUAAAAUUGCCGUUGAUACUGGCAGCCUUGAGUGUAGUAGAGGUAGGCGGAAUGCGUGGUGUAGCGGUGAAAUGCUUAGAUAUCACACAGAACUCCGAUUGCGAAGGCAGCCUACUAAGCUAUAACUGACGCUGAGGCACGAAAGCGUGGGGAUCAAACAGGAUUAGAUACCCGAGUAGUC
rnacentral:rRNA from 1 species